CGUUGAAUAAAAAGCAAUCUUGAUAAGCAAACAUGACAACACACGGACAUUACCGCAAACACCUACAAGGCGUAGGAAAUACUAUUAUAAGACAAACAUUCAGACAUUAACACAAACAUCUACGAGGUAUACCAAACAUCCAGAUAUGACAAAGAGAGACAGGCGCAUCAGAUGAGCAUGGAACGGAAGGGAGACGAAAAUGAAGCUUUCAGCCGGAGA
rnacentral:misc_RNA from 1 species